rnacentral:sRNA from 1 species
UGAAACAGCCUAUUGUGUCAGAGAGGUGCAAUAGUAUGGCUGGGUCAAAUUGGA